rnacentral:rRNA from 1 species
GUCUUUUUGAGAAUAAUUUAAAGUCUAACCUGCCCAAUGAGUAGUUGAAUGGCCGCAGUAUUUUGACUGUGCAAAGGUAGCAUAAUCAUUAGUUUCUUAAUUAGAAACUGGAAUGAAAGGUUGGACGAGAAAAUAUCUGUCUCUUUAUAAAUUUUUUAGAAUUUUAUUUUUAAGUUAAAAAGCUUAAAUGAAUUUAAAAGACGAGAAGACCCUAUAGAGUUUUAUAAAAAGUUUUAUUAAUAAUUAUAAUUUAAUUUGUUUAAUUUUAAUAAAAUUUUUAUUUAAUUGGGGUGAUUAAAAAAUUUAAAGAACUUUUUUUUUAUAAAAACAUUAUUAUAUGAUUUUUUGAUCCAUUUUUUAUGAUUAUAAGAUUAAAUUACCUUAGGGAUAACAGCGUAAUUUCUUUGUAGAGUUCAAAUCGAUCAAGAAGUUUGCGACCUCGAUGUUGGAUUAAAAUUUAAUUUUGGUGUAGAAGCUAAAAAAUUAGGUCUGUUCGACCUUUAAAAUUUUACAUGAUCUGAGUUUAAACCGGUGUGAGCCAGGUUGGUUUCUAUCUUUAAAUAAAAAUAAAUAUUUUAGUACGAAAGGACCAAAUAUUUUUAAUAAUUAAUAAAUUAUGAAUAUUAAUAAGU